UGGGGAAUAUUGCACAAUGGGCGCAAGCCUGAUGCAGCCAUGCCGCGUGUGUGAAGAAGGCCUCGGGUUGUAAAGCACUUUCAGCGAGGAGGAAGGUGGUGAACUUAAUACGUUCAUCAAUUGACGUUACUCGCAGAAGAAGCACCGGCUAACUCCGUGCCAGCAGCCGCGGUAAUACGGAGGGUGCAAGCGUUAAUCGGAAUUACUGGGCGUAAAGCGCACGCAGGCGGUUUGUUAAGUCAGAUGUGAAAUCCCCGGGCUCAACCUGGGAACUGCAUUUGAAACUGGCAAGCUAGAGUCUCGUAGAGGGGGGUAGAAUUCCAGGUGUAGCGGUGAAAUGCGUAGAGAUCUGGAGGAAUACCGGUGGCGAAGGCGGCCCCCUGGACGAAGACUGACGCUCAGGUGCGAAAGCGUGGGGAGCAAAACAGGAUUAGAUACCCUGGUAGGUCCACGCUGUAAAACGAUGUCGAUUUUGGAGGUUGUGCCCCUUGAGGCGUGGCUUCCGGAGCUAACGCGUUAAAUCGACCGCCUGGGGAG
rnacentral:rRNA from 1 species